rnacentral:tRNA from 1 species
UGGACUAUAGCCAAGUGGUAAGGCAAGAGACUUUGACUCUCUCAUUCCGCUGGUUCGAGUCCAGCUAGUCCAA